rnacentral:rRNA from 1 species
AUUGAACGCUGGCGGCAGGCCUAACACAUGCAAGUCGAGCGAGCGGCGGACGGGUGAGUAAUUCCUGGGUAUCGCCCAGUCGAGGGGGAUAACAGGUGAAAACGACUGCUAAUACCGCAUAUGUUUCGUAUGACCAGGUGGGAUUAGCGUGUUGGUGGGGUAAUGGCUCACCAAGGCGACGAUCCCUAGCUGGUCGGAGAGGAUGAUCAGCCACACUGGAACUGAGACACGGUCCAGACUCCUACGGGAGGCAGCAGUGGGGAAUAUUGCACAAUGGGGGAAACCCUGAUGCAGCCAGGCCGCGUGUGUGAAGAAGGCUUUCGGGUGGUAAAGCUCUUUCGGCGAGGAAGCGUUACCCGCACAAGAAGCACCGGCUAACUCCGUGCCAGCAGCCGCGGUAAUAC